GGCCAGGUUGACCGGAAGGGUUUCCUUCUGGUCGAUGAGGUAGAUGUACCUCAUUGAUUGGAAGGGUUUCCCUCUGGUCAAUGAGGUACAUGUACCUUGUUGACCAGAAGGAAACCCUUCUGAUCAGCAAGGUA
rnacentral:miRNA from 1 species